rnacentral:rRNA from 1 species
UACGAAGGGGGCUAGCGUUGCUCGGAAUCACUGGGCGUAAAGCGCACGUAGGCGGCUUUCUAAGUCAGGGGUGAAAUCCUGGAGCUCAACUCCAGAACUGCCUUUGAUACUGGAGAGCUUGAGUCCGGAAGAGGUGAGUGGAACUCCGAGUGUAGAGGUGAAAUCCGUAGAUAUUCGGAAGAACACCAGUGGCGAAGGCGGCUCACUGGUCCGUACUGACGCUGAUGUGCGAAAGCGUGGGGAGCAAACAGG